CGUUGCACUAUCGUUUGAUGAAUACAUAGUCAAACGAAGCGAACCGGGGGAACUGAAACAUCUCAGUACCCCGAGGAAAAGAAAUCAACCGAGAUUCCCCUAGUAGCGGCGAGCGAACGGGGAGCAGCCCAGAGUCUUAAUCAGCAUUAGCAUCAGGAGAACGGUCUGGAAAGGCCGGCAGUAAAGGGUGAUAGCCCCGUAUCCGAAGGUGUUAGUGUUGUGAACUCGACGAGUAGGGCGGGACACGUGUUAUCCUGUCUGAAUAUGGGGGGACCAUCCUCCAAGGCUAAAUACUCCUGAUUGACCGAUAGUGAACCAGUACCGUGAGGGAAAGGCGAAAAGAACCCCGGCGAGGGGAGUGAAAUAGAACCUGAAACCGUGUACGUACAAGCAGUGGGAGCCCCACCACCAAAGCAUUUUCUGGUGUUGAGGACAACUUUAAAGUGACAUUCAACACGCGUUGGCGGAGCGUUUUUUGCGACGCCCAACACACAAAACAAGCAGUGAAUGUGCUUUGGGGUGGGGUGACUGCGUACCUUUUGUAUAAUGGGUCAGCGACUUAUAUUCUGUAGCAAGGUUAACCGUAUAGGGGAGCCGUAGGGAAACCGAGUCUUAACUGGGCGAAU
rnacentral:rRNA from 1 species